UACGAAGGGGGCGAGCGUUGUUCGGAUUUACUGGGCGUAAAGAGCGCGCAGGCGGUCGAUCAAGUCGAGUGUGAAAGCCCCCGGCUCAACUGGGGAGGGUCAUUCGAUACUGAUCGACUCGAAGGCAGGAGAGGGUAGUGGAAUUCCCGGUGUAGUGGUGAAAUGCGUAGAUAUCAAGAGGAACACCUGAGGUGAAGACGGGUUGCUGGGCCGACACUGACGCUGAGUGCGCGAAAGCCAGGGGAGCAAACGGG
rnacentral:rRNA from 1 species